rnacentral:rRNA from 1 species
UAGGGAAUAUUGGACAAUGGGUGAGAGCCUGAUCCAGCCAUGCCGCGUGCAGGAAGACGGCCUUCUGGGUUGUAAACUGCUUUUAUCUGGGGAUAAAAAGGGGGUGCGCCCCCAACUGAAGGUACCAGAUGAAUAAGCCACGGCUAACUACGUGCCAGCAGCCGCGGUAAUACGUAGGUGGCAAGCGUUGUCCGGAUUUAUUGGGUUUAAAGGGUGCGUAGGCGGUUUAUUAAGUCAGUGGUGAAAUACUUCAGCUUAACUGGAGAGGUGCCAUUGAUACUGAUGAACUUGAGUACAGUCGAAGUAGGCGGAAUGGACGGUGUAGCGGUGAAAUGCAUAGAUAUCGUCCAGAACACCGAUAGUGAAGACAGCUUACUAGGCUGUAACUGACGCUGAGGCA